rnacentral:rRNA from 1 species
UACGUAGGGUGCGAGCGUUAAUCGGAAUUACUGGGCGUAAAGCGUGCGCAGGCGGUUUUGUAAGCCAGGGGUGAAAUCCCCGGGCUCAACCUGGGAAUGGCAUUUGGGACUGCAAGGCUGGAGUGCGGCAGAGGAGACUGGAAUUCCUGGUGUAGCAGUGAAAUGCGUAGAUAUCAGGAGGAACACCGAUGGCGAAGGCAGGUCUCUGGGCUGACACUGACGCUGAUGCGCGAAAGCGUGGGGAGCAAACAGG